rnacentral:rRNA from 1 species
UACGAAGGGGGCUAGCGUUGCUCGGAAUCACUGGGCGUAAAGCGCACGUAGGCGGACUCUUAAGUCGGUGGUGAAAUCCUGGAGCUCAACUCCAGAACUGCCUUCGAUACUGAGAGUCUCGAGUCCGGGAGAGGUGAGUGGAACUGCGAGUGUAGAGGUGAAAUUCGUAGAUAUUCGCAAGAACACCAGUGAGCGAAGGCGGCU